UCGCGAAUCAUUCACAAUGGACGCAAGUCUGAUGAUGCCACGCCGCGUGCGGGAUGAAGGCCCUUUGGGUUGUAAACCGUUGUCAAGGGAGGGGAAACACCUAGUGUUAACAGCGCUAGGCUUGACUGCUCCCUAAAGGAAGCCCCGGCAAAACAUGUGCCAGCAGCCGCGGUAAUACAUGUGGGGCAAGCGUUGUUCGGAAUUACUGGGCAUAAAGGGUGCGUAGGCGGUUUGUUAAGUCACUGGUGAAAGUUUGCGGCCCAACCGUAAAAUUGCCUGUGAUACUGGCGAACUUGAGUGCGUGAGGGGUAGGGGGAACGAGCAGUGUAGCGGUGAAAUGCGUAGAUAUUGCUCGGAAGGCCGGAGCCGAAGGGGCCCUACUGGUACGUAACUGACGCUGAGGCACGAAAGCGUGGGGAGCAAACAGGAUUAGAUACCCCUGUAGUCCCUGAGCGGGCUGGCAAGGCGCAU
rnacentral:rRNA from 1 species